rnacentral:lncRNA from 1 species
ACAAGGACUCAGUCAAACGAUGUCAGACCAGACACCCUAAUUUAGGCCGAAGGGGUGAACUUGGUGGCAUAGGCGAAGGCGUUAACAGCGCUGGGGUUGGCGAGGUGGUCAGACAGGUUCUCGAUGGGGCCCUUGCCGGUCACAAUAGCCUGCACGAAGAAGCCGAACAUGGAGAACAUGGCCAGGCGGCCGUUCUUGAUCUCCUUGACCUUGAGCUCGGCGAAGGUGUCCGGGUCGUCAGCCAGGCCCAGCGGGUCGAAGGCGCCACCGGGGUGCAGCGGGUCCAGGCCCUCACCCAGCGGGCCGCCGUUGGCGCGGUAGGCCUCAGCCAGGCCCAUCACGACAACCUGGAGCAUAACAUGGCGUGAGGAGGAAAAACCAUCCGGAGGCUUUCAAUGCAGGGGUUGCGAGCUAAGUGAGAACAAUUUGGCGCGAGAUCUCGCUGGUAUCACAUUAGCAUGAUAUAAUACACGCGCGUGCUAGCCUCGCCGAGGAAUAGGUACAUGGGGACGCCUGGCGGCAUGCAACGACGUCCAAAGUACCAAAAAAAUCUCCCUAUCCACUGGCAAUUUCGUAAGCUAGCACAGCCCACAAAACUUUAAAGCUUCAGAUCCAUCCACGUUACGCAAAUACCUGGAAGGCCAGGGUGGCAAUGAUGGACUGCGCGUGCACCAGGUUCUCAUUGCCCAGGUAGUUCAGGCCACCCUCAGCGAAGAUCUGGGCGCCGGCCUUGAACCAGACAGCCUCGCCGAACGAGACACCCGCGUACUUGGACAGCAGCUCGGGGGUCACGCAGCCCAGAGCGCCCAACAUGGCCCAGCGCGCAUGGAUGAGCUCCAGCUCGCGGUAGCGCUUGAAGGUCUCCGGGUCAGCGGACAGGCCGGCAGUGUCCCAGCCGUAGUCGCCGGGGAACUCGCCA